UACGGAGGAUCCAAGCGUUAUCCGGAUUUAUUGGGUUUAAAGGGUGCGUAGGCGGCCUGUUAAGUCAGGGGUGAAAGACGGUAGCUUAACUAUCGCAGUGCCUUUGAUACUGGUGUUCUUGGGUGACCUUGAGGUAGGCGGAAUGGGUGGUGUAGCGGUGAAAUGCAUAGAUACCACCCAGAACUCCGAUUGCGAAGGCAGCCUACUGGAGGUUUACCGACGCUCGAGGCACGAAAGCGUGGGGAUCAAACAGG
rnacentral:rRNA from 1 species